rnacentral:rRNA from 1 species
UACGUAGGGGGCAAGCGUUGUCCGGAUUUAUUGGGCGUAAAGAGCGUGUAGGCGGCCAGACAGGUCCGUUGUGAAAACUCGAGGCUCAACCUCGAGACGCCGAUGGAAACCGUUUGGCUAGAGUCCGGAAGAGGAGAGUGGAAUUCCUGGUGUAGCGGUGAAAUGCGCAGAUAUCAGGAAGAACACCCGUGGCUAAGGCGGCUCUCUGGGACGGUACUGACACUGAGACGCGAAAGCGUGGGGAGCGAACAGG